rnacentral:tRNA from 1 species
GACAAUAUAGCUCAGCUGGAUAGAGCAACGCCCUUCUAAGGCGUGGGUCAGGGGUUCGAAUCCCUUUAUUGUCGCCA